rnacentral:rRNA from 1 species
UACGUAGGGUGCGAGCGUUGUCCGGAAUUAUUGGGCGUAAAGAGCUUGUAGGCGGUUUGUCGCGUCUGCUGUGAAAAUCCGGGGCUCAACCCCGGACUUGCAGUGGGUACGGGCAGACUAGAGUGUGGUAGGGGAGACUGGAAUUCCCGGUGUAGUGGUGGAAUGCGUAGAUAUCGGGAGGAACACCAGUGGCGAAGGCGGUUGCCUGGGGCUUUGCUGACGCUGAGGCGCGAAAGCGUGGGGAGCGAUCCGG